UAUAGCCAUGGAAGCUCCGCACUCCAGCCCAGCAGGUGGCGGUAAUGCGCCUAUAAAGAGGUUCGUUAACCGCCGAUAAAACUCAAAGAAGAAGAACAAGAAAAACGACGCUCACAAACCCCCCUAAAUUGUAGCAACUGAAACUAAAUUUUGUCUAUGAAACACAUUUUUACCUAAAACCAGACUAACUUUACAGUUAUAUUAACUUAUACAAACGAAAUAACUUGCUCUAAUUAACGACGACGAGUUACAGCUAACGAUACAUGAUAACAACAAUAUUAGCUAGCCGCUAGCUAGCAUUAGCUGUCAGCAAGCCAACUAGCUAACGUCAGCUUUUAGCUUUUAGCUUCUGCAAAUAAUUCUGACGUUGCUCGAGUUCAGCGACAACGUUUAAAAGCCAAAAACAAUGUCGGACGACUAUGAGUUCAGCGACGACACGACCAUGAUGAGGAUGGAAGAGGACGGGGAGGCAAACAGCGACGAGCCGAUGUCUGCAGCCGGGGACUGUGGCCCGGUGGGGGGCGAGGCCGAGGGAUCAAGAAUUGACGCCAGUAAAAACGAGGAGGAUGAGGGUAAGAUGUUUGUAGGAGGGCUCAGCUGGGACACGACUAAGAAGGACCUGAAAGAUUAUUUUUCCAAGUACGGGGAGGUUGUAGACUGCACUUUAAAACUGGACCCCAUGACUGGCCGUUCACGGGGCUUUGGCUUUGUGCUCUUCAAAGAACCAGACAGUGUUGACAAGGUUGCCACACAGAAGGAACAUAAACUCAAUGGAAAGGUUAUUGACCCCAAAAAAGCCAAAGCCAUGAAGAGCAAGGAGCCCGUAAAGAAGAUCUUUGUUGGUGGUCUCUCUCCAGACACUCCUGAAGACAAAGUCAGAGAGUACUUUAGUGCCUUCGGAGAGCUGGAGUCAAUUGAACUUCCCAUGGAAAACAAAACCAACAAAAGGAGAGGCUUCUGCUUCAUCACAUUCAAAGAGGAGGAACCAGUUAAGGGCAUCAUGGAGAAAAAGUACCACAAUAUUGGACUAAGCAAGUGUGAAAUAAAAGUGGCAAUGUCCAAGGAACAGUAUCAGCAGCAGCAGUACUGGGGAGGCAGAGGUGGCUACCCAUCCAGGUCUCGAGGAAGAGGCGGUGGUCCCAAUCAGAAUUGGAACCAGGGUUAUGGCAACUACUGGAAUCAAGGCUAUGGGAAUUAUGGCAAUUAUGGUUACAAUAAUCAAGGAUAUGGAGGAUACGGUGGCUAUGAUUACCCUGGUUACAACAACUAUUAUGGAUAUGGUGACUACAACGAUGAAUCUGGUGGAUAUGGCAAGUCGCCACGGCGUGGUGGUCACACCAACAGUUACAAGCCGUAUUAACGGAGGAAACUCAUCUUCAAGUAGCGGAGCUUCCUUGCAGGCCAUGAGCUGACUCCCAGAUACUCUCAGGGCCCGCUCAAUGCGGACCGGGUACGAGAAGCAUACGCUCUCGAAUGCUGCCAUUUGGUUUCAGAGUGAUGAAAGACAGCAGAGCGCUGGUGGAGCGUUGGCCAGAGAGAUGAUGGUAUCCAGCAAAGAUCACUAGCUGAUUGUAAGAAACUCAUGAAGAGCACUAUGACCUACACUACAUUUCCUCUAUAUUUACCGGAGUAUUUGUUGUAUCCCAAAAGUUUUGGUGUUUUGCAUUUAUUUAGAUUGCUGCAAAGUUUGGGCAGUUUGCAUUUCCUAAUCCUCUAUUCUUUUUGUAUUUAAUGUUCUCAAAUGCUAUUUGUGAAUUGCUUCAAUUAUUACAUAACAGAAAUGUUAGAUUGGUUGGAACAGAUCACACACACACAUACAUAUACAGUAUUGUAGUAGCAAAGAAUGCAUAAAAUGCAUUGUUACAAUUUACUUUUUAUCGUAGUCAUCAGUCAUAUAAUACAUAUGUUAUUACAGAGUCUGACAGUCAUAAACAGAAUAUAUAUAUACAGGUAAUUGGACAUAAAGAAGUACAAUAACAAUAAAAAUAAAGACUCAUUUGGAUAUGUGAUCCGUUGUGAAAUAGUAAUAUUACGUCACAUUGACUGUUGGAGUGUUCAAGAAGUAUUUCAGCCAAGUUUCUAAUAAUUUAAGCUCUAAUUUGUAUCCUGUCAUCGUAAGCUUUAUCGUAGAGCAUCCUGACCAAUAAGCUUGCAGGUGUUACAAAAUCAUCUACCCUUUUUGAAUUUACGUAAAUAUUUCUUGAAAUGUCCGUUUGUUUGAGCUGAAAUGAUCUGAGACUCUCUUCACGAGAGCAAUUACACGCUAAAUAAAAGAGGUGAGCUUCA